rnacentral:lncRNA from 1 species
GAGGCAAUUGGGACCUACAAUGAGACAUUCAUUCACCUUGUCCAUCACUCUAUUGACAUUUCAAGUAUAGCACAUGGCUGCGUACUAAUAAUUCUAAGUGACGACACCCAAAAACUCUUAUCAAGCUAUAUUUAUCAUUUUCAUGCGCCUUAAACUGGCCUAUUUCAAACUUUCCAUUUUAGAUUUCCACUAAUUAAGCUUGUUUAGCAAGAGAUAUACACAGUAGGUCAUGUAUGGAUAAGGCUUGACAGACAAGUGAUAGCUGGAGCUAGAGUGUCUGAGGUAGACUCCUCUCUUGUUUUUACAUUAACUUCAAUUCCCUCGCAAAUUGAAAACGUUACCAACACUUGUAUACCGGUUGAACUUCCACACAUAAAAUAUAUAGGAUUCGAAAUUCUUCUUUAAGACCAUGUCCUCACAUCGAUGAGUCCUCGGUGACACAUCCUUAGUACCUUUCUAAUUCACCUUGAUACCAAUAAAUAUUUAUAUAUACUAGUACCAGCAACAAUCCUAUUAUUAUUUCUUUAUAGCUAAUUAACAUUGGAUUCAUUUGUUGAGUUUGACUUACUGUUAUUUGAUCACCCUUUUCCGCUAUUAUUUUAUAAUAUCCAAUUUGCAGGUAAACAGGUUGAAAGGAGCUGCCAUAAUUUUGGGUUUAAAGGUUUGUCAAAGCACACCAUGUGGUUGAGAAAAUGCUAGACUUACUUAAACCUCAAGACCUGCAAAAGAUGUAUAGAAGCGCUAUUAGUGCGGCCCCAUCUUCAGAUGUCACUUCAGUCCUGGGCCUUCUGUUCCAGCUUGCUAUGUAAAUAAAUAAAACAUGCCAUUGCUCUGUUUGUCUUAACCUUAGCCUACCCACGACUGCAACUGCCAAUCCAAGACGUCGUUGUUGAUGUCACAUUAGGUUGAGUUGAAGUUAGUGACUGACACAAGAGCUAUUUUAAAUAAAUUGAGUUGGAUCUAUUUAAC